AUUUUAAAAAUAUUUUGUGAAAAUUUAAAGUGAAUCCGACAAAUUCUUUUCGAGAUAUUCAACAAUUAACAAAGGGCGCUUGGGCGCUACGGAGCGUUCGAGAGCAGUGAUUUACCAUGGGACGUGACUGUAGAAAGGUUUCAAGACAACUUCGAAGUUCUGAAAAUAUAUAUGGCCCAGGAAUAGAUGACUCAGUAUGAAUCUCCAAGGACUUGUGAUGAUCACCGCAAGGGACUUCUGGAGGAACGGGCUCCACACAAACAGCGAUAACUUUUCAAAUUAUUAAUUUUUUUUUU
rnacentral:lncRNA from 1 species